rnacentral:rRNA from 1 species
UACGUAGGGACCAAGCGUUGUUCGGAUUUACUGGGCGUAAAGGGCGUGUAGGCGGGUCGGCAAGUCAGGCGUGAAAUCCCCAGGCUCAACCUGGGAACUGCGCUUGAAACUGCCGGUCUUGAGUAUCGGAGAGGGUGGCGGAAUUCCUGGUGUAGAGGUGAAAUUCGUAGAUAUCAGGAGGAACACCGGUGGCGAAGGCGGCCAGCCUGGACGAUACCUGACGCUGAGACGCGAAGCGUGGGAGCGAACAGGAUGAAGAUACCGGUGUAGCUCAUAGACCCAAGUACUACGUCGACUCGACC